GACGAACGCUGGCGGCGUGCUUAACACAUGCAAGUCGAACGGAAAGGCCCUGCUUUUGUGGGGUGCUCGAGUGGCGAACGGGUGAGUAACACGUGAGUAACCUGCCCUUGUCUUUGGGAUAACUUCAGGAAACUGGGGCUAAUACAGGAUAGGAGCUCCUGCUGCAUGGUGGGGGUUGGAAAGUUUGGGCGGUUGGGGAUGGACUCGCGGCUUAUCAGCUUGUUGGUGGGGUAGUGGCUUACCAAGGCUGUGACGGGUAGCCGGCCUGGGAGGGUGACCGGCCACAUUGGGACUGAGAUACGGCCCAGACUCCUACGGGAGGCAGCAGUGGGGAACAUUGCACAAUGGGCGGAAGCCUGAUGCAGCAACGCCGCGUGCGGGAUGACGGCCUUCGGGUUGUAAACCGCUUUCGCCUGUGACGAAGCGUGAGUGACGGUAAUGGGUAAAGAAGCACCGGCUAACUACGUG
rnacentral:rRNA from 1 species